CAAUAGCGUAUAUUAAAGUUGUUGCAGUUAAAAAGCUCGUAGUUGAAUUUCUGGUGGGCGCGCCGGUCUUCCAAGUGUUGUACUGGGCGCAGUUCGCCAUCCUUGUGGAGAGGGCUCGCAUUGAGUUGCGUGUCGGAUCUGCAUCAUUUACUGUGAAAAAAUUAGAGUGUUUAAAGCAGGCUGUCGCUUGAAUACAUUAGCAUGGAAUAAUAAGAUAGGACUUCGGUCUAUUUUGUUGGUUGCGAACCGAGGUAAUGAUUAAUAGGGAUAGUUGGGGGUAUUCAUAUUUAAUUGUCAGAGGUGAAAUUCUUGGAUUUAUGAAAGAUGAACAACUGCGAAAGCAUUUACCAAGGAUGUUUNCAUUAA
rnacentral:rRNA from 1 species